AGUCAAGUAAUUAAGUGCAUGUGGUGGAUGCCUUGGCAGUCAGAGGCGAUGAAAGACGUGAUAGCCUGCGAAAAGCUCCGGGGAGGCGGCAAAUAUCCUUUGAUCCGGAGAUGUCUGAAUGGGGAANNNNNNNNNNNNNNNNNNNNNNNNNNNNNNNNNNNNNNNNNNNNNNNNNNNNNNNNNNNNNNNNNNNNNNNNNNNNNNNNNNNNNNNNNNNNNNNNNGAGGUUAACCGUAUAGGGGAGCCGUAGAGAAAUCGAGUCUUAAUAGGGCGUUUAGUUGCUGGGUAUAGACCCGAAACCAGGCGAUCUAUCCAUGAGCAGGUUGAAGGUUGGGUAACACUAACUGGAGGACCGAACCCACUGUCGUUGAAAAGCCAGGGGAUGACUUGUGGAUAGGGGUGAAAGGCUAAUCAAGCCUGGUGAUAGCUGGUUCUCCCCGAAAGCUAUUUAGGUAGCGCCUCGGACGAAUACCAUAGGGGGUAGAGCACUGUUUCGGCUAGGGGGUCAUCCCGACUUACCAAACCGAUGCAAACUCCGAAUACCUAUGAGUACUAUCCGGGAGACAGACUGCGGGUGCUAACGUCCGUAGUCAAGAGGAAAACAAUCCAGACCGCCAGCUAAGGCCCCAAAAUCAUAGUUAAGUGGGAAACGAUGUGGGAAGGCAUAGACAGCUAGGAGGUUGGCUUAGAAGCAGCCACCCUUUAAAGAAAGCGUAAUAGCUCACUAGUCGAGUCGGCCUGCGCGGAAGAUGUAACGGGGCUAAAACUAUGUGCCGAAGCUGCGGAUGUAUACUUUGUAUACGUGGUAGGGGAGCGUUCUGUAAGCCGAUGAAGGUGUGUUGAGAAGCAUGCUGGAGGUAUCAGAAGUGCGAAUGCUGACGUGAGUAACGACAAAACGGGUGAAAAACCCGUUCGCCGAAAGACCAAGGGUUCCAGUCCAACGUUAAUCGGGGCUGGGUGAGUCGACCCCUAAGGCGAGGCCGAAAGGCGUAGUCGAUGGGAAAAUGGUUAAUAUUCCAUUACUUCUGUGUAAUGCGAUGAGAGGACGGAGAAGGCUAAAUCAGCCUGGCGUUGGUUGUCCAGGUGAAAGGAUGUAGGCAUGUAUCUUAGGCAAAUCCGGGGUACUCUAUGCUGAGAUCUGAUAGCAAGCUGUACUUGUACAGCGAAGUGGUUGAUGCCAUGCUUCCAGGAAAAGUCUCUAAGCUUCAGUUACACAGGAAUCGUACCCGAAACCGACACAGGUGGUCAGGUCGAGUAGACCAAGGCGCUUGAGAGAACUCUGCUGAAGGAACUAGGCAAAAUGGUACCGUAACUUCGGGAGAAGGUACGCUGUUGUUGGUGAUGGAACUCGCUUCCUGAGCUGACGACAGCCGCAGAAACCAGGCCGCUGCAACUGUUUAUUAAAAACAUAGCACUCUGCAAACACGAAAGUGGACGUAUAGGGUGUGAUGCCUGCCCGGUGCUGGAAGGUUAAUUGAUGGGGUUAGCGUAAGCGAAGCUCUUGAUCGAAGCCCCAGUAAACGGCGGCCGUAACUAUAACGGUCCUAAGGUAGCGAAAUUCCUUGUCGGGUAAGUUCCGACCUGCACGAAUGGCAUAAUGAUGGCGGCGCUGUCUCCAGCAGAGGCUCAGUGAAAUCGAAAUCGCUGUGAAGAUGCAGUGUACCCGCGGCUAGACGGAAAGACCCCGUGAACCUUUACUGCAGCUUGACACUGAACUUUGACCUUACUUGUGUAGGAUAGGUGGGAGGCUUUGAAGCUGGAACGCUAGUUCCAGUGGAGCCGUCCUUGAAAUACCACCCUGGUAAUGUUGAGGUUCUAACUCUGUCCCGUGAUCCGGGACGAGGACCGUGUCUGGUGGGUAGUUUGACUGGGGCGGUCUCCUCCUAAAGAGUAACGGAGGAGUACGAAGGUGCGCUCAGCGUGGUCGGAAAUCACGCGUAGAGUAUAAAGGCAAAAGCGCGCUUAACUGCGAGACCCACAAGUCGAGCAGGUACGAAAGUAGGUCUUAGUGAUCCGGUGGUUCUGUAUGGAAGGGCCAUCGCUCAACGGAUAAAAGGUACUCUGGGGAUAACAGGCUGAUACCGCCCAAGAGUUCAUAUCGACGGCGGUGUUUGGCACCUCGAUGUCGGCUCAUCUCAUCCUGGGGCUGAAGCAGGUCCCAAGGGUAUGGCUGUUCGCCAUUUAAAGAGGUACGCGAGCUGGGUUUAGAACGUCGUGAGACAGUUCGGUCCCUAUCUACCGUGGGCGCUGGAAAUUUGAGAGGAUCUGCUCCUAGUACGAGAGGACCAGAGUGGACGAACCUCUGGUGUACCGGUUGUGACGCCAGUCGCAUCGCCGGGUAGCUAUGUUCGGAAGGGAUAACCGCUGAAAGCAUCUAAGCGGGAAGCCUACCUCAAGAUAAGAUUUCCCUAGGACUUUAUGUCCUCUAAAGAGCCGUUCGAGACUAGGACGUUGAUAGGUUGGAUGUGGAAGCAUAGUGAUAUGUGAAGCUGACCAAUACUAAUUGCUCGUGAGGCUUGACUAU
rnacentral:rRNA from 1 species